rnacentral:lncRNA from 1 species
CCUCUUUUCCUCCUCCAGUGUCCUCUCCUCCACUGGACCCACCCAUCAGUCUCACCAAGCCCUCUGCCCUCGCCGUCUUACCUCAUUUUCCCUCUGGCCACUAAGGGCUGUCAUCUUCACAAGCAGAAAGAGCGAUGCAGAGGGAGAGGAAGGCCACAGGUGAGAGCUCCUCCUCGUGGAUCGUGGCUAUCGGCGCCCCAGAGACGCCAGGCACCCCCCCGGGCCCAGAGGAUUUGCUCUGUCCGGAAAGGGGCGCAGUGGAGACCGGCGCAGAGUUCUCUUCCAAGUCGGGUUCCAAUUAACUCAACGAGUAUUGGAUCUCCGGUGGUCCAGGGACUUGGCUUCCUCCAUUUGCAGAAAGUCCAGUGACCCAGCCUUAACAGUGUGCAUCCUUCGAUAGCUCAGCUGGUAGAGCGGAGGACUGUAGACUGCGGAAACGUUUGUGGACAUCCUUAGGUCGCUGGUUCAAUUCCGGCUCGAAGGAAGCGCCUGACUCUUUUGCGCACAAUGCUGCCUGGCUGCACCUGUUCCUCGUCAAAGACCUUGCAGCCUUCCAGUCAUAACUACACUUUCCCCAGGAAAACCCAGCAAAAUCCUGCCUUUCCUGAUCACAGGCCUGGGAGCCUAUUCAUUCUUCCCGAAUCCUCAUAGUCUUCAGCUCAAAACAGUGCCCCUUGCCUUGUGACCCAGCCAGACCCCAAUUCGUGCCCCCACCAUCCUACGCCUUUCCACUUGUAUUUACAAACUGCCCACCCAUCCCCCUGUCCCAGACCCGUCAAGCUUCAUCUUUCCUGAGCUUUCACAAGUUUUUAUGUUGCUACAGCCAAGUUUGGCUACUGCUGGAAAAGUAAGGAUAUCUAAUACUCAGUUCAAAGUCUGCAAAAACACCUGCACCAAGUGCCCUGCCUACUUGGGAGGGUAAGGGAAAGGGAAAGCGAGUACCAAAGAAGUGCAGACUUCAAAACAGCUUCAGUGAUCCUGGAGAGUUAGGGGCUAUUGGGUCCAUGGCAGGGAGCAGACGUAAAGCUUGAGUGACAGCUGCCUUUAUACAGAGGCACGUGGAUUUGCCUCCUUAGACAGGCCACUGCCUCGUGGGUCUAAGCAGUUCGGAGCGUUUGCUCUGGGACCUAGAGGCACAGUUGGGUUCUCCUACUCCCAAGAAAAAUGUGCUGAGGCCCAGUCAGAGAGAAUGGAGUCAGAAAUGGACUGGGCUUUAUCAAUCAAGUGAAGCUUCAACUCUGGGGAGUUGGAGUGGGUUUGGUGGAUAUGUGGCAGAGAAGAAAGCCAAUGAGCAUCCUUUGGUCUCAUCACAUAAUCUUGGAAAAAGCUUCCCGAUGUUUGAUGUAAAGAUGCAACCUAUCAGAGAGUACUCCAAACUGAAUGGCCCAGGAAAGCAUGGCCUUCUGAAGCCUGCUUAGGACUGGCUUGCCCCAUCUACUACCUGCUGGGUCCACAUGAACUGUUUAAUUGUGCCUCUCAAACUGGAUACUGCACAUAUUACUGCACAUAUCUUUUUCACAUGGAAAGCAGCUCCUGGUAUCCCGCCACCGCCUAUUCUCCCCCACGUCACCCCGACUGUGUCAACCUUUCUUCUUUGGUGUCACCAGUGCUCUGGGAUGCUUCUAUGGCUCUGGAGGCACAGAGAGACCCCAGCUCCAAUGACACCAAAGGCAAAGACCAGCUAACAAAGAGGGACCAAAGGUAGCACCUCAGGCCUUCAUUGGAUAUAUUCCUGAUGGGGCGUGGAGUCACCAGAGCCCUUGGAACCUUUGCUCAGUGCUUUGGGGAAAAACCAGAGAAACCCACAGAACUUUGCCCUACUUCAGAAAUCAGCAGCUUCUGAUUGGAAUUCUCAGCCUGUUUGCAGAAGAGGGUAUCUCACAUGUGCCUCUGCAAGCCUGGGAGAGAUUUCCUCACCUCACUUCCCAGUGCACCUCAAUGCACCAAAAUGUGAGCAUAGACUACUAUGAGGAGAAGGGCGGGGCACCUGGGGAGGAGGGCCCUGUGUGUGUGGUAGGGGAGGGAGUAGAGAGGCCAGACUAUUAUGGAAGCGCCCAUUAGAGACCUGCACCAGACUCUGAGGUUGGGUUGGAGUUGUCAGCUGCCUAUCCAGCGCCCAUUAGGGUUCUCCUCUUUUCCUCCUCCAGCGUUCUCUCCCCGACUAGACCCACCCAACCACCUCGCCAAUCCCUGUGCCCUCGCUGACUCACCUUCUCAUUUUCUCUCAGGCCACUGGGGGCUGUCAUCCUCACCUGUAGAAAGGUGGAUGCUCAGGGAGAGGAAGGCUGUCACAGAUGAGAGCUCCUCCUCGUGGAUGGUGGCUAUCAGAGCCCGAGAGACACCAGGCAUCCUCGCCCAGAGGAUUUGCUCCGCCCUGAAAGGGGUGUGGUGUCAAGCGGCGCAGGGUUCUCUUCCAAGGUGGGUGCCAACCAACCCAACGCGUAUUGGACCUCAAGCAUUCCAGGGAUGUGGCUCCCUCUGUUUGCAGAAAGUCCAAUGAACCAGCUUUGAUAGCAUGCAUCCUUCGAUAGCUCAGCUGGUAGAGCGGAGGACUGUAGAUUGUAUAGACAUUUGCGGACAUCCUUAGGUCGCUGGUUCGAUUCCAGCUCGAAGGAAGUGCGUGAUGCUUUUGGUUAAAAGCCCUGCAGCUUCCAAGUAGUAACCACACUCUCCCGGGCAAAACACCCACGAAGUCUUUCCUGAUCACCUAGCUUCCCACGCCUUGCUUCUACUUUGUGACCCCACUAAUCCCUCUAUUCAUGCUGACCACUACUUCCCCACCCUGUGCUCCUUCGCUUUUCUUCACAGACUGCUCUCGAGCUUGAGCAUCUCCACUGGCUGUGACAAAACCGCUGUGCUCACCUUUGACAGAGCUCUCCUGACCAGGUGGGCAAAGCCUGGAAGGUCAAGUUCCCUGGAGAACGUCAAGCUUACUUGACAAGGGUGUAAAGUGGGGAUAACCGUGGUAUCUUCCGUGAAAACUCACCCUCUCACUCUCAUCCAUCUCAGGCUCUUUAUCACUGCAUUGAGAUCUGACAGUCUCAUGUUUGUCUCUGUCUCAUUCUCUUUCUCUCUUUCACCGUUUCUCUGUCUCUGUAUAUUUCUCUUUGUCUCUGUGUCUCUGCCUCCCUAUCUCUCUUCCCUGAGCCCUCAGCCUGCCCCUCUCAUUCUCCUUGGCUGGAAAUGUAUAGACCUAUACAGGCGUAAAGAAAAUGUUCAUUCCCACUUUGCUGUGUCUACUUUGGGGAGACAGCUGUCACCCUGAGAAUUUCCUAAUCCUAAGAACUUCCAUUAGCAAGGUCAGGUUGCCCUUUAGGUUGAGGACAAGGUGAGUCUAUCCCCUAUCCCCAUAGCUUUUCCCAAAUCCCUCAAGCCUCACUUUUUCUGAGCCUUCACAACUUUUCAUGCUGCUACAGCGGAGUUUGGCCCCUGCUAGAAAAGAAAGGACCUAAUAUUCAGUUCAAAGCCAGCAAAAACACCUGUGUUGAGUGCCCUGCUACUUGAGAGGGUAAGGGAGAUGGAAGGGGAGUACAAAAGUGCAGGCUGGAAAAGAGCUUCAGUGAUCCUGGAGAGUUAGAGGCUGUUGGGUCCAUGGCAGGGAGCAGAAGUAAAGCUUGAGUGACAGCUGUCAUUAUACAGAGGCACACGAAUUCGCUGCCUUAGGCCACUGCCUGGUGGGUCUGAGCAGUUUGGAGCUUUGGGACUAGAGGCACAGUUGGACUCUACCCUCACCCCAAAGGAAAAAGUGCUGAGGCCUAAUCAGAGAGAAUGAAGUAGGAAAUGGACUUAGGUUUUCUCCAACGAACAGGGGUUACACCUCCAGGGAGAUGGAGUGGGUUCUGUGGGUAUGGGGCAGAGAAGAAAGCCAACAAGCGUUCCUUGGUCUCAUCUCACCAUCUCAGAAAAAAUCUCCAGAGAUUUGAUGCGCACAUGCAACCUAUCACAGAGAGCACUCCAAGCCAAAUGGCCCAUGGGAACGUGGCCCUCUGAAACCCUCUGGGGACUGGGACACCUGCCUCCACUACCUGCUGUGGCCACAAGAGCUGUUUCAUUGCAGGUCUCAAACUGAAGACUACACAGGUCUUUCUUGGGAAGCAGCUCCUGAUCUCCCUCCACCUCCCUAUUUCCCCCAAUGUUCCCCUGGCUUUGUCAGCCUUUCCUGCUUCUCAUUGCUAACAGAAGGAGGCCAAGCUGUGGCAUCGCCAGUGCCCAGGAUGAUUCUAUGGCUUUGGAGCCACAGAGAGAUCCCUGCCUCCAAUGACACCAAAGGCAGAGGCUAGCGAACACAGACGAAAUGUAGUACCUUUGUCCCUUAUUGGAUAAGUUCAUGAUGGGAUAUAGAGACCCCCAGGUUCUUCGGAACCUCUGUUUAGUGUUUUGGUGGGAAAAUCAGAGGUGAGCCAGUGAAUGGGCUUUGGUGGCCAGCACAAGCAAGGUUGAAACCUGGGUACCAACUCUUCCUGUUUGAGCCAUGACAGAGUAGCUGGGUUCUGUGAGCAUCUGACCCUUGCCCUCAGAGAUCCAGACCCACUUGCCAUAAGACAGGGAGUGGACUUAAACUCAAUGGUGGCCAGGUUCCUUGGAUGUGGCUUGCUGCACCUCCAGUAGGUGUUCAGCUGGGGGGUGGGUGUCCCAGUGGUCUUGGGGUAGUGGUGUUGCGGGAAGUCAGGGACCCCAAACAGAGGGACCGGCUGAAGCCAUGAGAGAAGAAUGUGGAUUGUGAAGAUUUUAUGGACAUUUAUUAGUUCCCCAAAUUAAUACUUUUGUAAUUUCUUGUGCCUUGGACACUUAUCACUUCCCCAAUCAAUACCCUUGUGAUUUCCUAUGCCUCUCUUUACUUUAAUCUCUUAAUCCUGUCAGUUGAGGAGGAUGUAUAUUGUCUCAGGACCCUGUAAUAAUU